GACGAACGCUGGCGGCGUGCUUAACACAUGCAAGUCGAACGGAAAGGCUCCAGCUUGCUGGAGUACUCGAGUGGCGAACGGGUGAGUAACACGUGGGUGAUCUGCCCUGCACUUCGGGAUAAGCCUGGGAAACUGGGUCUAAUACCGGAUAGGACCGCACUCUGGUGUGUGUGGUGGAAAGGAUUUUCUGGUGUGGGAUGAGCUCGCGGCCUAUCAGUUUGUUGGUGGGGUAAUGGCCUACCAAGACGGCGACGGGUAGCCGGCCUGGGAGGGUGGACGGUCACAUUGGGACUGAGAUACGGCCCAGACUCCUACGGGAGGCAGCAGGGGGGAAUAUUGCACAAUGGGGGAAACCCUGAUGCAGCGACGCCGCGUGGGGGAUGAAGGCCUUCGGGUUGUAAACUCCUUUCGCUAGGUACGAAGCUUUUUGUGACGGUACCUGGAGAAGAAGCACCGGCUAACUACGUG
rnacentral:rRNA from 1 species